AGCGAACGUUAGCGGCGGGCCUAACACAUGCAAGUCGAGCGAGAAAGGGGCUUCGGCCCCGAGUACAGCGGCGAACGGGUGAGUAACACGUAGGUAAUCUUCCCUCGAGCGGGGGACAACGAGCCGAAAGGCUCGCUAAUACCGCAUACGUUCCCAGGGACCCCGGUCCUUGGGAGGAAAGCUAGGCCGCAAGGUCCGGCACUCGAGGAGGAGCCUGCGUCGCAUCAGCUAGUUGGUGGGGUAACGGCCUACCAAGGCGAAGACGCGUAGCUGGUCU
rnacentral:rRNA from 1 species